CAGGAUGUCACUUUUGAUUGGAGCAGAGCUUUUUCAAACUCUGGGCAUUAAAACAGAGAAGAAGGAUCAGUGAAAUUUUUACAAGAUCUCACUGACAUCUUUUCUGAUCUUGAUAUUCAAAUUUGAUGAUGAAAGAUGGACCCAUUUCAGCUGCUCUGGUGAGAACUAAAAGCAAAUUAAAAUCACCUCCCUCCCCCAUGUACCCUCUUCUACAUCUUCCCCCUGAGAAGAACAGGGAAAUGGGGGAUAGGAACUCUGAUCAGUCCAGAACUCUUCAUCUCUACGGCUCCUUCGUGGUCCCUCUCUUCCCCUGCCCCAUUGUGGAAGUGUGGAAGUGUCCUUGCCAAACAGAUGCUCUGCGGUCUUCCCACAGACAGCUGCUCUUCAAGCACUGCUCCAACACAAGUUUGUACCACGGGGCCCUUAGGAGCAGAUUGUUCCAGCACUGGAUGCCCAUGAAGAGGAAAAAUGAAAAAAAAAAAAAAAAAAAAAAAAAAAAGGUAAAUGAAAAGGAAAAAGAAAAGAAGCCCAAAAAUACACAAGUGAUACACAGUGCAGUUUCUCAACACCAUUUGAUUUCCACACAGUCCCCAAAGAAUGGCAGCAAUAUCCUGCCUAACUACCUCAGUUUAAUUGUUCAGCAAGACAUCAUCUGGUAUGGGAUAUGUCUUUGGCCAGAUUGUGUCUACUAUCCUGAUUCUCUUCCUUCCUAUCUUAUUCUGCACCCCAGCUUCCUCUCUGGCAAAGCAGCAUGAGAAACCAAAAGUCUUUGAGCAGUAAGCACUUCUCAGUAAAACAUCCAUUUAUUAUCAGUGUUAUUUUCAUCCUAAAUCUAGAACAUAGUGCCAUACCAGCUACUAGGAAGG
ensembl:lncRNA